rnacentral:misc_RNA from 1 species
GAUGAAGAACGUAGUGAAAUGCGAUAAGUAGUGUGAAUUGCAGAAUUCAGUGAAUCAUCGAAUCUUUGAACGCACAUUGCGCCCUUUGGUAUUCCUUAGGGCAUGCCUGUUCGAGCGUCAUUUGAACCCUCAAGCUCAGCUUGGUGUUGGGUGUCUGUCCCCGCCUCCGCGGGGACUCGCCUCAAAAUCAUUGGCGGCCGGUACGUUGGCUUCGAGCGCAGCAGAAACGCGAACUCGAGGCCCGGCGGAUCGGCGACCAGAAGUCUCUUCUUCACAGUUUGACCUCGGAUCAGGUAGGGAUACCCGCUGAACUUAAGCAUACAAUAAGCGGAGGA